rnacentral:tRNA from 1 species
GUUCUUGUAGUUGAAGGUUGACAACGGUAGUUUUUCAUACUACGGGUCCUGGAGGAAACCAGGCAAGAAUU